UACGAACUGUGCGAACGUUUAUUCGGAAUCACUGGGCUUAAAGGGUGCGUAGGCGGCUGCCUAAGUCAGGUGUGAAAUCUCCCGGCUCAACCGGGAAACUGCGCUUGAUACUGGGCGGCUCGAGUGAGGUAGGGGUGUGUGGAACUUCCGGUGGAGCGGUGAAAUGUGUAGAUAUCGGAAGGAACGCCAGCAGCGAAAGCGGCACACUGGGCCUUUUCUGACGCUGAGGCACGAAAGCCAGGGGAGCGAACGGG
rnacentral:rRNA from 1 species